rnacentral:rRNA from 1 species
AGUGAACGCUGGCGGUAGGCCUAACACAUGCAAGUCGAACGGCAGCACAGUAAGGGCUUGCUCUUACGGGUGGCGAGUGGCGGACGGGUGAGGAAUACAUCGGAAUCUACUUUUUCGUGGGGGAUAACGUAGGGAAACUUACGCUAAUACCGCAUACGACCUACGGGUGAAAGCAGGGGAUCUUCGGACCUUGCGCGGUUGAAUGAGCCGAGGUCGGAUUAGCUAGUUGGCGGGGUAAAGGCCCACCAAGGCGACGAUCCGUAGCUGGUCUGAGAGGAGGAUCAGCCACACUGGAACUGAGACACGGUCCAGACUCCUACGGGAGGCAGCAGUGGGGAAUAUUGGACAAUGGGCGAAAGCCUGAUCCAGCCAUACCGCGUGGGUGAAGAAGGCCUUCGGGUGGUAAAGCCCUUUUGUUGGGAAAGAAAAGCAGCAGGUUAAUACCCCGCUGUUCUGACGGUACCCAAAGAAUAAGCACCGGCUAACUUCGUG